AGAAAUUUGAAAAUUUUCUUGGUUAUUCUUGGCUUUGGAUAAGAAGGCUGGGGUUCCUUUUGAUUGGGAAAGCAUGUGGCUGUGAUAAGGUCUGUGCUCUUGUUAUUUUUGAAAUUUUGCUUUUCUAUACUUCUAAACUAUCUGAUCUACUAUAUGGUGUUUGCUAACAUUUGCUUACUGGGCUCCAUUGAAAUUAUGAAUUUGAUAUUCCCAUCCAAUCUUUAUUUUGAACAUAGCAUUGCAUAAAGUUGCUUUAUAUUCUUGCUAGUGUGUUGAAACAAUGAAAUGCCUUUAGAAGCAAUUUUAAUGGAGAAUAUACUCUAGGUUGAACUGUGCAUGAAUCAUUCUGAGAUGCACAACUGGGAUUUCCUCUGCUGCAUGAUCAUUCCAGUAUUAAUGGUUUGUCAUAGAAGUCCUA
rnacentral:misc_RNA from 1 species